AGCAUUCUGGUAGCUAUGAGCCAUGGGCGGUAGCGUG
rnacentral:ncRNA from 1 species